GAUGAACGCUGGCGGCGUGCCUAAUACACGCAAGUCGAGCGAACAGAUAAGGAGCUUGCUCCUUUGACGUUAGCGGCGGACGGGUGAGUAACACGUGGGUAACCUACCUAUAAGACUGGAAUAACUCCGGGAAACCGGGGCUAAUGCCGGAUAACAUAUAGAACCGCAUGGUUCUAUAGUGAAAGAUGGUUUUGCUAUCACUUAUAGAUGGACCCGCGCCGUAUUAGCUAGUUGGUAAGGUAACGGCUUACCAAGGCGACGAUACGUAGCCGACCUGAGAGGGUGAUCGGCCACACUGGAACUGAGACACGGUCCAGACUCCUACGGGAGGCAGCAGUAGGGAAUCUUCCGCAAUGGGCGAAAGCCUGACGGAGCAACGCCGCGUGAGUGAUGAAGGGUUUCGGCUCGUAAAACUCUGUUAUUAGGGAAGAACAUAUGUGUAAGUAACUGUGCACGUCUUGACGGUACCUAAUCAGAAAGCCACGGCUAACUACGUGCCAGCAGCCGCGGUAAUACGUAGGUGGCAAGCGUUAUCCGGAAUUAUUGGGCGUAAAGCGCGCGUAGGCGGUUUCUUAAGUCUGAUGUGAAAGCCCACGGCUCAACCGUGGAGGGUCAUUGGAAACUGGGAAACUUGAGUGCAGAAGAGGAAAGUGGAAUUCCAUGUGUAGCGGUGAAAUGCGCAGAGAUAUGGAGGAACACCAGUGGCGAAGC
rnacentral:rRNA from 1 species